AGAGUUUGAUCAUGGCUCAGAUUGAACGCUGGCGGCAUGCCUAACACAUGCAAGUCGAACGGCAGCACAGAGGAGCUUGCUCCUUGGGUGGCGAGUGGCGGACGGGUGAGUAAUGCAUCGGGAUCUACCCUGACGUGGGGGAUAACCUCGGGAAACCGGGACUAAUACCGCAUACGUCCUACGGGAGAAAGCGGGGGACCUUCGGGCCUCGCGCGGCAGGACGAACCGAUGUGCGAUUAGCUAGUUGGUGGGGUAAUGGCCCACCAAGGCGACGACGGGUAGCUGGUCUGAGAGGAUGGCCAGCCACACUGGGACUGAGACACGGCCCAGACUCCUACGGGAGGCAGCAGUGGGGAAUCUUGCGCAAUGGGCGAAAGCCUGACGCAGCGACGCCGUGUGCGGGAAGAAGGCCUUCGGGUUGUAAACCGCUUUCAGGAGGGACGAAGCCACUCGGGUUAAUAGCCCAGAGGGUGACGGUACUUCCAGAAGAAGCCCCGGCU
rnacentral:rRNA from 1 species